rnacentral:rRNA from 1 species
ACGCCCUACGGGGGAAAAAUUUAUUGCUAUUAGAUGAGCCUAUAUUAGAUUAGUUAGUUGGUGAGGUAAAGGCUUACCAAGACAAUGAUCUAUAGCUGAUCUGAGAGGAUGAUCAGCCACACUGGAACUGAGAUACGGUCCAGACUCCUACGGGAGGCAGCAGUGGGGAAUAUUGGACAAUGGGCGAAAGCCUGAUCCAGCCAUGCCGCAUGAGUGAAGAAGGCCUUCGGGUUGUAAAGCUCUUUUAGUGAGGAAGAUAAUGACGGUACUCACAGAAGAAGUCCUGGCUAACUCCGUGCCAGCAGCCGCGGUAAUACGGAGAGGGCUAGCGUUAUUCGGAAUCAUUGGGCGUAAAGGGCGCGUAGGCGGGUUAGUAAGUUAAAAGUGAAAUCCCAAGGCUCAACCUUGGAACUGCUUUUAAAACUGCUAGUCUAGAGAUUGAAAGAGGAUAGAGGAAUUCCUAGUGUAGAGAUGAAAUUCNUAAAUAUUANGAGGAACACCNGUGGCGAAGGCGUCUAUCUGGUUCAAAUCUGACGCUGAGGCGCGAAGGCGUGGGGAGCAAACAGGAUUA